AUACGUAGGUGGCGAGCGUUGUCCGGAAUUACUGGGUGUAAAGGGCGUGUAGGCGGGGAUGCAAGUCAGAUGUGAAAUACCGAGGCUUAACCUCGGGGCUGCAUCUGAAACUGUGUUUCUUGAGUGUCGGAGAGGAAAGUGGAAUUCCCAGUGUAGCGGUGAAAUGCGUAGAGAUUGGGAGGAACACCAGUGGCGAAGGCGGCUCUCUGGACGACAACUGACGCUGAGGCGCGAAAGCGUGGGGAGCAAACAGGAUUAGAUACCCUGGUAGUCCACGCCGUAAACGAUGGAUACUAGGUGUAGGAGGUAUCGACCCCUUCUGUGCCGGAGUUAACACAAUAAGUAUCCCACCUGGGGAGUACGGCCGCAAGGUUGAA
rnacentral:rRNA from 1 species